rnacentral:rRNA from 1 species
CGAACGCUUCUUUCCUCCCGAGUGCUUGCACUCAAUUGGAAAGAGGAGUGGCGGACGGGUGAGUAACACGUGGGUAACCUACCCAUCAGAGGGGGAUAACACUUGGAAACAGGUGCUAAUACCGCAUAACAGUUUAUGCCGCAUGGCAUAAGAGUGAAAGGCGCUUUCGGGUGUCGCUGAUGGAUGGACCCGCGGUGCAUUAGCUAGUUGGUGAGGUAACGGCUCACCAAGGCCACGAUGCAUAGCCGACCUGAGAGGGUGAUCGGCCACACUGGGACUGAGACACGGCCCAGACUCCUACGGGAGGCAGCAGUAGGGAAUCUUCGGCAAUGGACGAAAGUCUGACCGAGCAACGCCGCGUGAGUGAAGAAGGUUUUCGGAUCGUAAAACUCUGUUGUUAGAGAAGAACAAGGACGUUAGUAACUGAACUCCCCGUCGUAACUGAACU